rnacentral:other from 1 species
GCUGCUCUGGAAUACUCGCAGCGCAUCCGUUGAGUCCCUGACUACCUUUCCUUUCAACGUGUCCCCGUUCUCAGUCGUGGUGAGCAAGCCCUCAUACAGCAGAGGGAAGCCUAAAGCGUCUCAUCGGGGUAUAGUGCGGCAAAGGUCAGUAACUCAAAACUUCUCGCCACGGUAUUCCGGAGCAAUU